rnacentral:rRNA from 1 species
UAACGUUAAUCGCGCGGGAAAUCGGCGCAGGUAAAAUUAAAAAUUGCGGGCCUGCCAACGGUGGGAUAGGGUUAAUUCGAGCACGCGAGAACCUUACCGGCCUGCAUGCAAUGGAGAAGGUGAAGUUGCAUCCGCAAGGAAGGUCCCCGUGCUGCAUGCUGUCGUCAGUUGGUUGUGAGAGUUGGUUAAUCCCGCACGAGCGCAACCCCUGUGCCUGUUGCCACCGGCGCAAGCCGAGCACUCUGACAGAUGCCUCGCUUCAACGAGGAGGAAGGUGGGGAUGACGUCAAGUCAGUAUGGCCCCUUACGGCCAGGGCUGCACACGUACUACAAUGCCCGGCACAAAGGGAAGCAAGAGCGUAAGCUGGAGCAAAUCCCCCAAAACCGGGCCCAGUUCAGAUUGUCGUCUGCAACUCGACGGCAUGAAGCUGGAAUCGCUAGUAAUGGCGCAUCAGCUACGGCGCCGUGAAUACGUUCCCAGGCCUUGUACACACCGCCCGUCACAUCAUGAAAGCCGGUUGCACCCGAAGUCGCCCCUCAAAAGGUGCCGAAGGUAUGACUGGUGAUUGGGAUGAAGUCGUAACAAGGUAGCCGUAGGGGAACCUGCGGCUGGAUCACCUCCUU